GCCGAGCUUCUUAUGCAUUUCUGUCCGUCUGCGGUGUGCAUACGUGGGGAAUCUGCAUCUCGUGUUCAGCUUUACUUUUUGCUGCUGUAGCUGCAGCAGCGGUUGUGCGUUGCAUCAUGUAUUUAAAAGCGUGAAGUGUAUGAAAAGUGCACGUAGGUGUUGUGAUGGGUUGCAGUUUGCACCGGGCCGGAACAGAUGAGUGCUGGGAGGAGAAACACCCCGACCCCAACAACCCCCCCACCGCGGCUGCAAGGCGCUCAGAGAAUGAAAGAGCCGCAGGAGAGACGCUGCAAAGCCGUGCUGUGACACGGUGCGUCGCCUGGGAGGUGGGGAGGAACGCGUUAGAAGCAAGAAUGUCCCGAUCUACAGAGAUCUAGGAAACCCCAUACCCUGCAGUCAGCGCCUGGAAGCCUCCGGGGCUGGAGAUGAGAGUGAAAUAGAAUAUUUGGUAGACGCUAUUGGUUUUUGUAUUUUCCAGGGGCACCCGAGCCUUAAUUGGUUGAGACUGGUUGGAGGAACUAGAGGGAAAAGUAAAAUUUUAAAAUGGGGACUUUCAUGGGCAGGGGAGGUGCCUGGAAGAUCAGAGAGAGCUGAGCCAGCUCGUAAUGAUGGAAGCUUGGAAGGAAAACAAAAAAAAAGAAGAGGGAGAGAAGCUUGGGAAAGGCAUAGGCCAAGGAAGGCACAGGAGAGAACAGAGAGGAAACUGAGAAAGCAAAGGAAAGAAAGGAGAAGGAUAGAAUCAAGAACUUACUGGUGUUGGCCAUCGUGCAGGGAACUGAAAGGAGGGUGAUGGGAACAAAGAAAAGGAUAUUGAGGUGUAAUAGAAGUGCUGGAACCAAGAAGACUGAAUGUAAGGCCAGGGAGCUCAGUGCAGUGGGAAUCAAAUGUUGUUUCUGCGUCUGAAUUAGAUAAUAAUAAUUAUUUUUUUUUAUUUCAUGGUCUCCACUGCCGUGGUUCUUUUUGGGAGUCUUUCUACUAUACUUGGGGGGGGUCUCUGAUAGUUUGCAUCACUUAUCCUCUAGAUGAACCUUCCCCAGGAAUGCACGCUCUAUGGGGUGUUUAUAUGUAUAUUUUGUCAUACACAUUGCAGGAAUAUCCUGCAAGAGGUUGAUCAACCCUCUCAUUCCGCCCCCCCUUUACCCCCCCAGUGCUCUUUGUUUAACAAAGACUUUGAAGAAAAUCAUUGUAUCAAUACGACUGGAAAAAACAGGACGGCUACUGACUGACACCAGAUAACACACGAAUUAAUAAAUGUAAACCUUUGAUAAGAUUGUGAACCUGGAGCGCCCAGCCAAUGGGGAAACAGGGGAGGGGGAUGGGUAAAGGGGAAAACAAGGUACAAAAGCUGUCAUUGUGCCCUUAGUGGUGCUCCAGCUUGUGGGGCGCCCGCCACUGCAAUCGCGAAUAAAAUCUGCUUUGGUCAGAGAUACCGUCCUGACAAAAUUAUUUGGGUAUUUACAGCAGUGCUAAAACCUGAUCGGUGUAGGCAACGUUAGGGGGUUGGGUACUGGUGAUGGGGUUGCCCAGAAAAGAAAAAAAAAACAGCAGUAAAGAUGUAGAAAAUCAGAGCCAGAUCACUCAAAAGCCAUGGAUACAAGGCAAUAAAUACAGAAUGAAGGGGACCAGGGGGUGAGACCCCAGCCAAGGCCCUGGUUACUGUAAGGCUGGGGAAUUAAGAUGUAAAAUUUCUUGCAGAUUCAGGUGCAACGUAUUCAAUUAUAAAUACGUGUAAGGGACAGUUAAACAAUCAAACAACAUCACUAAUUGGAGCCAUGGGGAAAGCUGAGCUACAUCCAUUCUUCCAACCAUUACAAUAGGAAAAUUUCUAUGUAUGCCUGACUGGUGGGUGCCAAUGAAUGGGGAGAGAUAUCUUAAACAAACUGCAGGCCCAAACUGCAUUUGGAAAAGACAGCUGAUGGAGACUCCAGUUCUUAUGUUGCAGAGAUCAUUCCCUCCCGGUCAGACAGUAGCAGAGGGCUUGGAAAAUGCCAUCAUACUGUGGGUCGAAGCAUCAGAGACAUCUGGAUGAGAGAAACAAGCUGAGCCAGCAAUGCUAAUAUCCAGUUGAAGCUGGGAGCAGCACCGACAAGACAAAAUGUCCUUUGGAGCUGCGGAGACUGCAGCCUGUGAUAGAGAAUUGAGUUUGCUAAACCCCUGCAUGAACUCUUAAAAGGAGAAAUGGAAAACUAGGUAUAAAGGCAGGCCGCUUUCUAACGCCACACUGGGGAUAGAGGGUUUUCUUUCUGGAUUUCAGAUGACAGGAGAAAGAAAGAAGGAUAGACGAGGGAGCACACUGACACAGUGGCUUUGCUGUGCAGGAAGCCUGGUCACAGCAGCGCUGCUGGUCUCAGCUGCCACUGGCUUUUACCCCCAGGCUGUGCCCUGCAGAUAGGCUGAGGAAAAGCUCUAAAUUUUCCAUUGCCAUUUCUCAUUACACCCAGAUGACGCACAGGUUAUUACUGUUGUGUUAGACAAGUAGGUGGAUCUACGGACCAGGAGCUCCAACUCAUCCAGGAGAUGAGUUGGAAUGCUUAGCAAUAAUGAAGAUAAGUAGAUUAUUAUAAGGACCAAUCUAUUAGUUUAGUAAAAGGAAUCCAAACUUUCCAUUUCAGACUGAGUGGGUGAAUAGCAUUGUUUUUCCUCAAUAAUUUUUCACUGGGGACACAAUAGAAUACAUUUAUUUUCUGCCUCAAUGAUUUUGUCUCAUGAGAAGUACUGGAGUCACAAUAGAAUACUUUUAUCUUUUGCCUCAAAGCGUGCAAGGACAUUUUCCUUGAGUUCCACAUUUAUUGUUUUUAAGAAGUGUCUCACUAUGGGCUAAUAAGCAGUGGAAAUGUUCCAAACUGGGGAAAAGUGACUGAGUCAAAGGCUUCAGUGAUGAAGCUGAUGGUGGAAAAAGGGGUAGAAGUAGGUGGGCACUGGACCACCCUGACUAUCACUGAGCAUGCCCGAAGGGACAUCAGCACUUCUCUGUGCGAUCUUGAAGAGCAGUGAACAUGUAUGCCAAAGUACUGCAUAAGUCUGUCUUGUCGGUGUAAAUGCAGAACCUGAACUGUGGGAGGUGUGCAUGGUGAAGAAUAAAGGAAUGCCUCUUUCUAACAGCACAAUGGAGUUAGAGAGUUUUCUUCCCGGAUUUCGGAUGACGGCUGUGAUGAAGAGGGGAUCUGGAGGGGGCAGGCUCAGGGUGCCCUAUGGAUGGCCAUGGUCACCAUGCAGGUGGGACAGGGGCUGUGGCUGCUGUCUCCAGGGGAC